rnacentral:rRNA from 1 species
AGAUUGAACGCUGGCGGCAUGCUUUACACAUGCAAGUCGAACGGCAGCGCGGGGGCAACCCUGGCGGCGAGUGGCGAACGGGUGAGUAAUGUAUCGGAACGUAUACCUGUAAUGGGGGAUAACCAGUCGAAAGAUUGGGUAAUACCGCAUACGCACGAGAGUGGAAAGUAGGGGAUCGCAAGACCUUACGUUAUAGGAGCGGCCGAUAUCUGAUUAGCUAGUUGGUGGGGUAAAGGCCUACCAAGGCGACGAUCAGCAGCUGGUCUGAGAGGACGACCAGCCACACUGGGACUGAGACACGGCCCAGACUCCUACGGGAGGCAGCAGUGGGGAAUUUUGGACAAUGGGCGAAAGCCUGAUCCAGCCAUGCCGCGUGCAGGAAGAAGGCCUUCGGGUUGUAAACUGCUUUAGUCUAGGAAAAAGGGGUGCGAGGUUAAUACCCUCGUGCUUUGAUGGUACUGGAAGAAUAAGCACCGGCUAACUACGUG